UUUCCGUAGGUGAACCUGCGGAAGGAUCAUUGCACACACAAGUUGCAGCCAACCCAAGGCGAACGAACACAUUGUCCCCCUCGGUGGGUCGUGGCGCCUCGCGGCGUCGCGGCCGGCCACCUCCCGAGGUCACGAGCGUCAAACCUCGCGGCGUCGGGGGUACCCUUUCACGAUGCAUCCACCCGAAAUGACUGAGUCCCUUAUGAGUGAGAAGUGCGAACUCCGGCCGACCCCCCGCGAAGGAGGCCGGAGUUGGUAACCUCGCGAGUUGAAAUAACCAAAUACAACUUUCAACAACGGAUCUCUUGGCUCUC
rnacentral:misc_RNA from 1 species